GGUUAAGUUAGAAAGGGCGCACGGUGGAUGCCUUGACACUAGGAGUCGAUGAAGGACGGGACUAACGCCGAUAUGCUUCGGGGAGCUGUAAGUAAGCUUUGAUCCGAAGAUUUCCGAAUGGGGAAACCCACCAUACGUAAUGGUAUGGUAUCCUUAUCUGAAUACAUAGGGUAAGGAAGACAGACCCAGGGAACUGAAACAUCUAAGUACCUGGAGGAAGAGAAAGCAAAUGCGAUUUCCUGAGUAGCGGCGAGCGAAACGGAACAUAGCCCAAACCAAGAGGCUUGCCUCUUGGGGUUGUAGGACAUUCUAUACGGAGUUACAAAGGAACGAGGUAGACGAAGCGACCUGGAAAGGUCCGUCGUAGAGGGUAACAACCCCGUAGUCGAAACUUCGUUCUCUCUUGAAUGUAUCCUGAGUACGGCGGAACACGUGAAAUUCCGUCGGAAUCUGGGAGGACCAUCUCCCAAGGCUAAAUACUCCCUAGUGAUCGAUAGUGAACCAGUACCGUGAGGGAAAGGUGAAAAGCACCCCGGAAGGGGAGUGAAAGAGAUCCUGAAACCGUGUGCCUACAAAUAGUCAGAGCCCGUUAACGGGUGAUGGCGUGCCUUUUGUAGAAUGAACCGGCGAGUUACGAUCCCGUGCGAGGUUAAGCUGAAGAGGCGGAGCCGCAGCGAAAGCGAGUCUGAAUAGGGCGUUUAGUACGUGGUCGUAGACCCGAAACCAGGUGAUCUACCCAUGUCCAGGGUGAAGUUCAGGUAACACUGAAUGGAGGCCCGAACCCACGCACGUUGAAAAGUGCGGGGAUGAGGUGUGGGUAGCGGAGAAAUUCCAAUCGAACCUGGAGAUAGCUGGUUCUCCCCGAAAUAGCUUUAGGGCUAGCCUUAAGUGUAAGAGUCUUGGAGGUAGAGCACUGAUUGGACUAGGGGUCCUCAUCGGAUUACCGAAUUCAGUCAAACUCCGAAUGCCAAUGACUUAUCCUUAGGAGUCAGACUGCGAGUGAUAAGAUCCGUAGUCAAAAGGGAAACAGCCCAGACCGCCAGCUAAGGUCCCAAAGUGUGUAUUAAGUGGAAAAGGAUGUGGAGUUGCUUAGACAACUAGGAUGUUGGCUUAGAAGCAGCCACCAUUUAAAGAGUGCGUAAUAGCUCACUAGUCGAGUGACUCUGCGCCGAAAAUGUACCGGGGCUAAAUACACCACCGAAGCUGCGGAUUGAUACCAAUGGUAUCAGUGGUAGGGGAGCGUUCUAAGGACAGUGAAGUCAGACCGUAAGGACUGGUGGAGUGCUUAGAAGUGAGAAUGCCGGUAUGAGUAGCGAAAGACGGGUGAGAAUCCCGUCCACCGAAUGCCUAAGGUUUCCUGAGGAAGGCUCGUCCGCUCAGGGUUAGUCAGGACCUAAGCCGAGGCCGACAGGCGUAGGCGAUGGACAACAGGUUGAUAUUCCUGUACCACCUCUUUAUCGUUUGAGCAAUGGAGGGACGCAGAAGGAUAGAAGAAGCGUGCGAUUGGUUGUGCACGUCCAAGCAGUUAGGCUGAUAAGUAGGCAAAUCCGCUUAUCGUGAAGGCUGAGCUGUGAUGGGGAAGCUCCUUAUGGAGCGAAGUCUUUGAUUCCCCGCUGCCAAGAAAAGCUUCUAGCGAGAUAAAAGGUGCCUGUACCGCAAACCGACACAGGUAGGCGAGGAGAGAAUCCUAAGGUGUGCGAGAGAACUCUGGUUAAGGAACUCGGCAAAAUGACCCCGUAACUUCGGGAGAAGGGGUGCUUUCUUAACGGAAAGCCGCAGUGAAUAGGCCCAAGCGACUGUUUAGCAAAAACACAGCUCUCUGCGAAGCCGUAAGGCGAAGUAUAGGGGGUGACACCUGCCCGGUGCUGGAAGGUUAAGGAGAGGGGUUAGCGUAAGCGAAGCUCUGAACUGAAGCCCCAGUAAACGGCGGCCGUAACUAUAACGGUCCUAAGGUAGCGAAAUUCCUUGUCGGGUAAGUUCCGACCCGCACGAAAGGUGUAACGAUUUGGGCACUGUCUCAACCAGAGACUCGGUGAAAUUAUAGUACCUGUGAAGAUGCAGGUUACCCGCGACAGGACGGAAAGACCCCGUGGAGCUUUACUGUAGCCUGAUAUUGAAUUUUGGUACAGUUUGUACAGGAUAGGCGGGAGCCUUUGAAACCGGAGCGCUAGCUUCGGUGGAGGCGCUGGUGGGAUACCGCCCUGACUGUAUUGAAAUUCUAACCUACGGGUCUUAUCGACCCGGGAGACAGUGUCAGGUGGGCAGUUUGACUGGGGCGGUCGCCUCCUAAAGUGUAACGGAGGCGCCCAAAGGUUCCCUCAGAAUGGUUGGAAAUCAUUCGUAGAGUGCAAAGGCAUAAGGGAGCUUGACUGCGAGACCUACAAGUCGAGCAGGGACGAAAGUCGGGCUUAGUGAUCCGGUGGUUCCGCAUGGAAGGGCCAUCGCUCAACGGAUAAAAGCUACCCCGGGGAUAACAGGCUUAUCUCCCCCAAGAGUCCACAUCGACGGGGAGGUUUGGCACCUCGAUGUCGGCUCAUCGCAUCCUGGGGCUGUAGUCGGUCCCAAGGGUUGGGCUGUUCGCCCAUUAAAGCGGUACGCGAGCUGGGUUCAGAACGUCGUGAGACAGUUCGGUCCCUAUCCGUCGUGGGCGUAGGAAAUUUGAGAGGAGCUGUCCUUAGUACGAGAGGACCGGGAUGGACGCACCGCUGGUGUACCAGUUGUUCUGCCAAGGGCAUAGCUGGGUAGCUAUGUGCGGAAGGGAUAAGUGCUGAAAGCAUCUAAGCAUGAAGCCCCCCUCAAGAUGAGAUUUCCCAUAGCGUAAGCUAGUAAGAUCCCUGAAAGAUGAUCAGGUUGAUAGGUUCGAGGUGGAAGCAUGGUGACAUGUGGAGCUGACG
rnacentral:rRNA from 1 species